GUGAGCGGCGAUCAGGCCACUGUACUCCAGGAUCUUACUCCAGAGCAAGACCCUGUCUCAGAAAAUGAAAUAAUCCCAUAAGAAGUGGAUAGCAGUGUCUAUGAAAACUAUGGCCACUAAUUGAUCACUGCUGAAGAAUCAUCACUGGAGCUAUCCCAUGGGACCCAGUGCUGCCUGUGUCCUGGAAACCACCUGAGGGAGGUCACAGCCCUUAUGCACCUCCUGCUCACUCAGCCCAGUAGUGACUGUUAUUAACCCAUCUGUGGAUUGUGAAGUUUAUCUAGUGGUUUAUAACUUUUUUUUUUAGUGAAAUAGAAUAGAAAACAUCAAAGUGCAUACGUGUAGCAAAGAUGUGCCCACGCGUGUCUGUGGACCUGUGCUCCAUCACCUAAACCAAGGCAGCAUCAUACUCCCCCCAGAACUACACCAAGUGGCAGUUUCCUCACUUGAAAAGCAGAAGGGAUAAAUUAGUGCCUCCUGGGGCAACCAUAGGAUUAAACUGAGAUUGCCUUUUCCUCCUUAAGCACGUUAAUUUCAUCACCCUCAAACUGUUACUCUUCACUUUGUUUUUAAAGGCCAUCUUCCCUGUUUAGCAGUUAUAAUGGUAACACAUGCUCAAAAUACAAAACUUGGGAGAUGUAGGAAAGUAGAAAGAAGGAAGAAAAGUCCGAUGCCAGUGACCAGAGGUAGCAGCUCACCCCCAAGGAACUAAGUGAGAAUAUGCUGUGUGCAAGCUUGAUAUUCUAUUCUUUCCGUUAACAGCAUACACAGGAUUUUUUACUCGAGUUUUCAGAUGCAGACUCAUGCCCUGAUCUCUUAAUUUUUUAUAGGAACACACGUGUGGUGCUCAGUAUGUCCCACCAGGAAGUUUCUCUUCCUUAAAACUCCUGGGCGGAGGAAGGGAGUCCCGGGAAGCUGGGAGACCUGGGUUCAGGUGUCACACAAUGCCCCCACCUUUCCUUCAGCUUCCAGGCAGGCUGCAGUAGCCCGGAGAGCCUUAUAGGUAUUAACUCCCUCAACCCUGACGGCAGCCCAGUGAGGUGGGUGCACUUCCCCCGAAGUCUUUCAGGUGAGGAGACAAAGGCAGACACAUCACCAUGAAGUGGUAAGCCAGGCUUCUAGGCCAGGGAGCCAGAACCUAGAAUCUGAGCUUCUGGCAGCUACGUCAUAUUGCCUCACGAGGAAAUAACAAGUGAAACAGUAUUUGCCAAAACACUCUACACCAGGGUUUCCCAACCUUAACGCAGGUGACAUUCUGGGCCAGAUACUCCUUGGUUGUGGGGGGGCUGUCCUGCGCCUCAUAGGAUGUUUAGCAGCCCCUCUGGCCUCUACCACUAAAUGCCAAUAGCAUCCGUAUCCCACUGUUGACAACCAGAAAUAUAGUAUCUCCAGACUUUGCCAGAUGUCCCCUGGGGUAGGAGUAUUUUCAAAUAAGAGUAUUCCUGCUUCCUUUUAUGUUGCAGCAAUAGCUGGACUCUAUCUCUGAUGUUUCAUUAAGCAGGGUAUUUAAAUGAUACGAGCAUCGUAAAUCACAGAAGUAUUUUCUCACUGUAAAGAAGAGGUGGAGCUCACACGUGUAAUCUCAGCACUUUGGGAAGCUG